CGGCGAGUGAAGCGGCAAUAGCUCAAAUUUGAAAGCUGGCGCCUUCGGCGUCCGCGUUGUAAUUUGUAGAGGAUGCUUCGGCGAGGACUCCUGCCUAAGUUCCCUGGAAUGGGACGUCACAGAGGGUGAGAAUCCCGUAUGUGGCGGGCGGUCCAAGCCAUGUGAAGCUCCUUCGACGAGUCGAGUUGUUUGGGAAUGCAGCUCUAAAUGGGAGGUAAAUUUCUUCUAAAGCUAAAUACCGGCCAGAGACCGAUAGCGCACAAGUAGAGUGAUCGAAAGAUGAAAAGCACUUUGGAAAGAGAGUUAAAAAGUACGUGAAAUUGUUGAAAGGGAAGCGCUUGCAACCAGACUCGCUCGCAGUUGCUCAGCCCGCCUCUUGGUGGGUGUACUCUUCUGCGAUCGGGCCAGCAUCAGUUUGGGCGGCCGGAUAAAGGUGUCGGGAAUGUAGCACCCUUCGGGGUGUGUUAUAGCCCGGCGCGGAAUGCGGCCAGCCUGGACUGAGGAUCUCGCUUCGGCAAGGAUGCUGGCGUAAUGGUUGUAAGCGGCCCGUCUUGAAACACGGACCAAGGAGUCUAACAUCUAUGCGAGUGUUUGGGUGUCAAACCCAUGCGCGUAAUGAAAGUGAACGGAGGUGGGAACCCGUAAGGGUGCACCAUCGACCGAUCCUGAUGUCUUCGGAUGGAUUUGAGUAAGAGCAUAGCUGUUGGGACCCGAAAGAUGGUGAACUAUGCCUGAAUAGGGUGAAGCCAGAGGAAACUCUG
rnacentral:rRNA from 1 species